rnacentral:rRNA from 1 species
GUCUCGUAGGUGACCUGCGGAGGGAUCAUUACACAAUAUGAAAGCGGGCUGGCAUCCUUCGGGGUUACAGCCUUGCUGAAUUAUUCACCCGUGUCUUUUGCGUACUUCUUGUUUCCUUGGUGGGUUCGCCCACCAUAGGACAAACCAUAAACCUUUUGUAAUUGCAAUCAGCGUCAGUAAAAAAAAUUAAUAAUUACAACUUUUAACAACGGAUCUCUUGGUUCUGGCAUCGAUGAAGAACGCAGCGAAAUGCGAUAAGUAGUGUGAAUUGCAGAAUUCAGUGAAUCAUCGAAUCUUUGAACGCACAUUGCGCCCUUUGGUAUUCCAAAGGGCAUGCCUGUUCGAGCGUCAUUUGUACCCUCAAGCUUUGCUUGGUGUUGGGCGUCUUGUCUCCAGUUCGCUGGAGACUCGCCUUAAAGUAAUUGGCAGCCGGCCUACUGGUUUCGGAGCGCAGCACAAGUCGCGCUCUCUUCCAGCCAAGGUCAGCAUCCACAAAGCCUUUUUUCAACUUUUGACCUCGGAUCAGGUAGGGAUACCCGCUGAACUUAAGCAUAUCAAUAAGGCGGAGGAA